UGACCCAGAGUGUAGAAUAAGGAUGCAGACAGGUCCUAGCUAGCAUGAGGAGAGGUCGUUACAGUGACAGUGACCCAGAGUGUAGAAUAAGGAUACAGACAGGUCCUAGCUAGCACGAGGAGAGGUAGUUACAGUGACAGUGACCCAGAGUGUAGAAUAAGGAUACAGACAGGUCCUAGCUAGCAUGAGGAGAGGUAGUUACAGUGACAGUGACCCAGAGUGUAGAAUAAGGAUACAGACAGGUCCCAGCUAGCACGAGGAGAGGCAGUUACAGUGACAGUGACCCAGAGUGUAGAUAAGGAUACAGAGAAGUCCCAGCUAGCCUGAGGAGAGGUAGUUACAGUGACAGUGACCCAGAGUGUAGAAUAAGGAUACAGACAGGUCCCAGCUAGCAUGAGGAGAGGUAGUUACAGUGACAGUGACCCAGAGUGUAGAAUAAGGAUGCAGACAGGUCCUAGCUAGCAUGAGGAGAGGUAGUUACAGUGACAGUGACCCAGAGUGUAGAAUAAGGACGCAGACAGGUCCUAGCUAGCAUG